rnacentral:rRNA from 1 species
CACCGAUUGCCGGCGUACUCCCCAGNUGGAAUACUUAACGCUUUCGCUUGGCCGCUUGCUGUGUAUCGCAAACAGCGAGUAUUCAUCGGNUCACUGUGUGGACUACCAGGGUAUCUAAUCCUGUUUGAUACCCACACUUUCGAGCAUCAGUGUCAGUUGCAGUCCAGUGAGCUGCCUUCGCAAUCGGAGUUCUUCGUGAUAUCUAAGCAUUUCACCGCUACACCACGAAUUCCGCCCACCUCUACUGUACUCAAGACUGACAGUAUCAAUUGCAAUUUUACGGUUGAGCCGCAAACUUUCACAACUGACUUAUCAAUCCACCUACGCUCCCUUUAAACCCAAUGAAUCCGGAUAACGCUCGGAUCCUCCGUAUUACCGCGGCUGCUGGCACGGAGUUAGCCGAUCCUUAUUCAUAGGGUACAUACAAAACAGUAUACAUACUGCACUUUAUUCCCCCAUAAAAGAAGUUUACGACCCAUAGAGCCUUCAUCCUUCACGCUACUUGGCUGGUUCAGGCCUGCGCCCAUUGACCAAUAUUCCUCA